rnacentral:rRNA from 1 species
AUUGAACGCUGGCGGCAGGCCUAACACAUGCAAGUCGAGCGGAGCGGAGGACGGGUGAGUAAUGCCUAGGAAUCUGCCAGGUAGUGGGGGAUAACGUCCGGCAACGGGCGAUAAUACCGCAUACUAUCAGAUGAGCCUAGGUCGGAUUCGCUCGUUGGUGGGGUAAAGGCAUACCAAGGCGACGAUCCGUACCUGGCCUGAGAGGAUGAUCAGUCACACUGGAACUGAGAACCGGCCCAGACUCCUACGGGAGGCAGCAUGGGGGAAUAUUGGACAAUGGGCGCAAGCCUGAUGCAGCCAUGCCGCGUGUGUGAAGAAGGCCUUCGGGUUGUAAAGCACUUUCAGCGGGGAGGCGUUACCCGCAGAAGAAGCACCGGCUAACUCCGUGCCAGCAGCCGCGGUAAUAC